UAACCUUCAAAUUUUUGGUUUUACUAUCCAACCUUUCAAUUUGUUUAAUUUGAAUCAGUUAACGGUAUUUUGACUUUAAAAUUUGAGUAUAUUAUUUAUCUUUACAGAUUUAGUUUGUAUAUUUAAUGUAUUUUUUGUAACUAUAAAUUUAUUAAAGUAAGGAAUUAAUUUAAAUUUUAUAAUCAAAUUAUGGCCGUCGACUAACGGAAAUCAAAUAAAUUAAAAAAUCAGAUAGUAAAAUCAAAAUUUUUAAAGUUUGGAUAGCGGAUUCAAAAUGGAUCAUAAUUCUAGUAAGUUUUA
rnacentral:lncRNA from 1 species